GUGACUCAGUACACACACACAACCCUAAUCUAACAAACCCACUCCCUAGUUACAGGCUCUCCGCCUCUGCCCUUCCCAUCAAUUCCGGCCAACAGCCUGUCGCGCCACCGGAAACACCGAGCACAGCCUUCUUCAUCUCUCCCAUAGCCUCCCUCGACCUCCAGAUGCGGCGUCGUUGCCGCCCGCUUCACCACCACUCCGGCUACACGCCAACGCCGGACUCCCUUCUCCGAUCAAUAAACAAUCAACCAACGCAACAACACCGACAUCCAGGCAAUACACAAUCAUCACACAGAUCUGAUUAUACAGAUUGGUAUGUUACACAGGGCUGAUAACCUCACCAGAACGCUCGAAUCCUCAAACUCGAAAUUUCUCUCUGCCGUGUGUUUUCCUCUUAUUCCGAAUCUAAAUUUUACUUUUUAUUCAAUUUAGUUCUGGCCACACACAAGUGACACAGCUGCUGCAUAAUUCUAAAUUCGGUUUUUUCAUAACCGAAACCGAAUUAAUCGAAUUAUUUCGGUUCGGUUUCGGUUCGGUUUAAUAGAUAAUUCGGUUCAGUUCGGUUUAAUAAAAUAUUUGCAUUUCAGUUUUCGGUUAUUUCGGUUCGGUUUUGAACCGAACCGACCGAAUGCUCAGCCCUACUUAUCUCGUUGCUAUUUGACAGAAUCAAAAUUAAUCUGUUAUUUUAUUAACCAUUUCCCUAAUUUAUUUUGUCACGGGUUUAAUGGACACUAUCAAGCUUGAGAUAUAUCAUGGGGGUGAAUUCAAAACAAGGGAAGGAAUAUAUUACUGCAAGGGAGGUAAAUGCGAUACCAUCUAUGGGGUUGAGAUUAAUGACCUUUUAUUAGAGCGCUUCUUAGCUUAUUUUAAUGGCAGUGGUUAUGAAAAUGGUCUUAAACUUUAUUACAAGAAACAUCUGCCUGUAGAUAAAGAAGUUUAUAAAUUGUUGUGGAAUCACGAGUCAAUUGAAGAGUUACGUGUUAAUGCAAUAAAAUCAGGUUUUGUCUCAAUAUAUGCUGAUCAUUGCGCUGAAGAACAAAAAAAAGAUUUUAGUAAUAGUGUUGAACAUGACUGGAAUUUGUUAGAUGAUGGUGAUGAAUUAGAUGAUCCUGAUUAUAGAAAGGAUGAUGAUAGUGAAUGUAGUAUUGACGAGGAAUUGUUAUCUGGUGAUGAUAUUGAUGUGGAAUCUGAUGUUGAUGAAGAAUUGGAGGAAAUUAGAGAGAAGAAAAGAAUGUUAAGAGAAGAAAAUAUUAAUCCUUUGAAAGAUGGUAAUCCACAAAAUAUGAACAUUUUUUUGUUGUGAAAAGUGAGCUCUUGCGGUAUCCACCAUCAUCCCAAAAUCGAUGUGAGUCUUAUAGAUCUCCCAAAAUACCGUAGAAAUCCUUUUUAGAAUGAUAAUCAAACCACAUACAGAGACACACAAGAACAACAAAACAUCGCACACUGACAUCCCAAUAAGAUGGGCACACACUAAUAUUAUUUGUUCCAGAAAAAGGCUAUAUGCUUUUAAUUUCAUUUUUCAAGCAUAAAGAGAACUUUGUGAAAUUAGAUUCUUUUUUUUCAGCUCUAUAUAGAACAUAAGUUGACUAUCAUCUGCUAUCUCAAAAGGAGGAUAUUCAUCUCUUACUUAAUAAUCUAUUCUAAUCUCAACUAACUCAGGUUCCAAUUAACUUGAUUUCGAUGGAUAUCAUUGCGACCAAUAUGUUGUAAUUAUAAUAAUUGGGAAACAACAAUCCACGCUCAAAGUUGAUAUAUUUAGUUUUCAUCCCAUUCUCCACUUUGUAGGAGUAUAACAUCAAUUUUUCAUUUUUCUGCAACCAAAUGUAAUAUUAACAUAUGAAACUUGUCAUUUUUCAUUUUGUAAUUUUAAAAACACCAGCAGUAUAUUUAAAAACCCAAUAGUUAAUUGAGGUUGUUAUAAAAUAAUAUCUACUAUUUAUUAAUGUACGUAUAAUAUCUAGGAUUUUUGCAUAACACUUAAAUAUGAAAAACAUUAGUUUUAUAUAUAGCUACAAAUCCUUAAAAUAUGACAACACAAGUAUAUUAUGUGAAUUAUUCGUACAUCAUAUACACAUUUAUAUAUAAGGUUAGACGGCAGUGUUUCUCUAAAAAAAUUUGAGAGUAUAAUUGUAAACAAAGAAAUUAGUUGUGUAACAAUGCACAUUAUUCUAACCUUGGGGAGGGGGCUAGGGGACGCUAGACUAGAGCUGUAAUUCGAGUCGGGCUGCUUGCGAGCUCGCCCGGCUCGAACUCGUUAACUGGGCUUGACUCGACUCGACUCGUUAAACUAGCCGAAUUCGGUCAAAGGUUCCGGCUCGUUUAAUUUAACGAGAUGGCUCGACUCGACUCGUGAAAAUAAACGAGCCGAGUUCGGUUAGAGGUUUAGGCUUGAUUUAGUGUAAAAUUAUACGAGCUGGCUCGCUUGACUCGUUAAAACCGGCUCGUUUAUCUAAACGAGCCAGCUCGACUCGACUCAUGAAAUUAAACGAGUCGAGUUCGGGCAAAGAUUUAGACUCGAUUAGUUAAACGAGUCGGCUCGGCUCGACUCGAUUAAACUUGGCUCAAAUUAGGCUCGGCUCGAAACUCGGCCGGCUCGGCUCGAAUUACAGCCCUACGCUAAAAAUACCCUUAACCUCGAAAAACUAGUGUAUUUUUUUUGUCCCUGCUGAAUCAUAGAUGUCAACAUAUAUUUUUUAAAUGUCCUAUGAGAAUAAAGAGGUGGCUUAUUUUGUAAAAUUUGUUUAAAACAUAUAAAUGAUAAUAUCUAGCAUAAAAAGAAUAAAAGUGAAGAUUUUAGAAAUUAAAACAAAUUUAGUAAAAUUAAUCUUUAACUUAAGUAAUUUAACCAGAAAAAAAGAGGAAAGACAACAUUACAGUAUAGCCUAACUCACAAGUCGUCUAGAUUCAAUUGAUGUUUCCAUAUUUACUUAAUACUCUAUCUUCUCACUUGCUUUCCAAUUUUCAAGAUAUAAUAAAUUGAUUGAUUAUCUUUUUAUUAUUAUUUAUUUUGUUCACGAAUUUCUUGAUUCUUGGACAAAUGGUUAAUAUUUAAUUUUUUUGUAUCAUUUGUGAUUUUGUAUAAUGAAAUUGUUAAUCGAGGUUCUCCAAGAAUUAGAAUUUGAAGGGUGUUCUCUUACACAUAUGUCGUCGUUUGAUCUUGAAUUGACUUGGGAUGUCCUUGCUAAUUAGAAUGAUAAUUUAGACUUCUUUGUUAGUUGUGAAUUAAAAUGUGGUAGUCUGAUUCGGUACUCUCGAAUUACAUUAAAUUACCACGGGAGUCAUGAAAUUACAGUUAUUAGUUGUUGCUAUGUCUAAAUGUUCUCCUGUGAGUAAUUUUUUUUUAUCAUCUUUAUCGUAUUGUGAAUUUGGUCAGGACUUCGUGUAAAAAUAUAAAUGAAAUGCUUUAAUGAAGACAAUAUAAACUUACACACAAAAAUGAGUUUAAAAAGUGGUGAUGUAUUUUCUUUAAAAGGGAAGUAUCAAUAAACAUCUUUAACUCGACGCGGAGAUACACAGUGGAUUCACAUCAUGGAACAAUAUUUUAUUUUCUUAUGUGAUCAUCAGUAGUAAAAAUGCUUAAUUGGGGAUGUAAAAACAUAUAUUUCAGCCACCCCAAGAUUUUAAUCCUGGUUCGAGCAUUGCUUGGGUGACACAUCCCCACACUACAUUGUGUAUUUAUUAUAUGAUUAUAAAAUCAUUUAUGGUAUUACAUUUUUUUUAUGUGUAUCUAUAUUAGUCAGUUAUAUACAAAGACAUUUUAGAUAUCCUAGUGACGAUUUUGUCAUUCACAACAUUUUUUGCAAUUUAAUCGAAUUAAGAAACUAAUAACACUGUCAUCUGACGUAAUUAUAUUACAUAGAUUUCUAUAGAUUACCGUCGAACUUUUAUACAAAAUUUACGAAAAAUCAUGAUAAAACAGAGUUAUAAGACCUAAACAUGGUUCAUAUAAAUCUCUUACAUAUUAGAGAUAUUGCUAAGAUUAUAAAAUCUAUUACCAAAUUCUAAUGAAUAUCAGUUUAGAAAUUUCAUAAAAACUCGUACGCAUUUAAAGACCAUCAAAUACGGGAUAAUAAAGAGUAAUGAUUUCAGCAAGAGCAGCCGGAUGGACUACUAUAGUGAGUCUAGUGACUACUAGAAUAGAGUUAAGUCAAAAAGUAUGGUAUAGCAGCCUUUUCGAGCGAGCCUCUGGGAUCUCCUGUAAACCCACAUGAUAUGGUAAACGGAGGAUAUUAGGGAAAGCGGUGAGUGGAGAUUCCCCUGCAGAGAGCCGGAUGAGGGGAGACCUUCACGUCCGGUUCGGAGGGCGGGGAUAUCCCAACCAUACUAUCAUUAUGCCUUUGCAAUGUUACUUGGUUCAACUCUAUUUGUGACCUUUUCUCAUAUGUGGGACUCUCUAUCUUUUUGGGUAGAUAAUCGAUCGUCUAUCCAAAUGAAAGACGAUCGAUUAUCUACCCAAGAAUAUAGAAGAGUCCCACAUACGAGAAACUAAUAACAUUGUCAUCUGACGUAAUAAUAUUACAUAGAUUUCUAUAGAUCACCGUCGAUCUUUUAUACAAAAUCUACGAAUAAUCGCCGUAAAACAGAGUUAUAAGAUCUAAACAUGGUUCAUAAAAAUCUCUUACAUAGCAGAGAUAUUGCUAAGAUUAUAAAAUAUAUUACCAAAUUCUAAUGAAAUAUCAGUUUAAAAAUUUCAUAAUUACUCGUACGCAUUUAAAGACCAUCAAACUUGAACUUAUAUGAAUCGAAUACUAUAAUAUUUUUAACAUAAUUUGUAAUCUUGGUUAAAUACCACAAAAGAUAAUUUAGAACCACAAGUUAAAAUCUAAAGAUCUUAAUAUGCUUUUUCAUGAUAAAAGGAUAAUCCUGGAUUUAAUCAUAUAAAAAAAGGUUCAAGAAUGAAGAUUGAGCUCCUUAAACUUGUUCAAAAACUGCAUAGCCACAAAUUGUUGACUAAGAUAACCAACCUAGCUAUCUUACAUAAGCUAGAUCUAUUUGUGGCGACAUUUAAAUAGUUGAAUCUCCAACGGAAAGACGGAGCUCCAAAUCUGGUUCUUCUUUACUACUUGACCCUGGAGCUGCCGAACUCCCUGAGACCGAUGAAUCAGUGCGAGCUCUCUUGCGCUUUUGUUCCGUUUCUUUUUCUUCCUGCACAAUUAAUGAAAUAUAGUCUCUCUAUUAAGCUUGUUUUUGUGUAAUUCUGUUUUCAAUCUUGUGUAUAUACAUUUCAUACUUUAACAAGUCUUGUUACAUACAGUUUGGGGUACAUGAGUUGAAGAUGGUGCAGGAGCAGAAGUAUGCCACACAGACGGUGAUGGAGCACCAUGUAUCUGAAAGUUGUUUAAACCCCCCUGUAAAACCAACAAAAAAUGAUAGAUAUAUUUCAAGUCAUAUAAAAAGAAAUGAAACAUGGACUUAUACUUAUUAAACAUAUACGAUACGAUACCAUUAGGCCUUGAACACCUGCCAGAGCUGGUGCAGCCACAGAAGGAGCCACAGGAGGAUUCAGAAAUGGGGGCACCUACAUAGAUGACGUUAACAACCAUAGAUGGGACUCUUUUUACUCAAAUUCAACAUAAAAAAAAUUAAUAAUUGUUUUUUUAGUAUAUGUGUCUACCAUCAAAUGCCAUUUUAUAAGUUUUACUUAUUUUGAUUGACAGCUAAUUUCUAAUAUUGGUGGGCCCUUUUAUAUACAAAACUGCAAAUGCAUAUUUAGACAAUAAAUGAUUACAAUAUCUAGAAUCCAAAGAUUUAUUUGAAAAUGAGGCCGUUUAAAAAAUCUCCAAAGAAUAUAUCUCUAUUAGAUAUUCUAUUUCUAUUUUAGUUGUAUCGUUAUAUUCGAAAAUCAGUAUCAUUAUAUUUUCUAUAUAGUGGAUAUCUUUUUUGCACUUUAUAAAAUCAAUAGUUGUUUUCCUAAUAUGUGUCUACCGGCACAUGUCAUUUUAUAAGUUUUACUUAUUUUGAUUGACAGCUAAUUUCUAAUAUUGUGGGGCCCUUUAUAUAUAAAACUGCAAAUGCAUAUAAUUUAUAAUUUAGUGGUGACAAACCCAAUUAUAAGAAUUGUCGAUAUAGAUAUAUGAUUACAAUCUGGCCACAAUUUCAUAAUGAUAAGAAAUUUAAAAUAUCCAAAAUUUAAAUUUAGUAUGACUUAAGGAAUAACUAAAUAUCUAUUUUCCUUAUUUUGAUGAUAUCAUAUAAAGGUCAAUCCAUUGUCACUCUUCCCACAUUUUUAUAUAUAUGCUCCAUAUUUUUGAUAAAAUAAAAGUAAUAUCUUAUACACGUUUAUCAAGAGAUUUUAAUUAAAUUGAUUAGAAAAAAAAGAUUUUAAUAUAAUCAAUCUUAUUAUUUCACCAAAAAAUUAAUGAUUAUAGGAAGCUGGCUUUAUUUUUUACAAAUUUUACAGAUUUGGAAAUAACUACCCUCACGACCAGGAUAUGUGAUAUCUUAUUAGUUUUUAGUUUAUAUUAGGAAGUACUGUUUAGAAAUUAUCAUGGUUACUAUGGGAAAAAUCCUUUUUUAUUUAUAAAAUAAUUAAGGGUAAAAUCUUAAACUACAUACAUAUACAAGUUUGAUGAUCUUUACCAUAUAUUGGUCAAUUACACGUAGUUAAAUUCCUUGUAAAUAGAUUACAAGUAUUUAUUGGAUUAAUGUAUAUAUUUUUAGUUUGAGUUUUGAAUAAUUUUAUUAGAUUAUUAAAAUUUAGGUAUUUUAGUUUUUAUUUUAAUAAUUCGUGAAAAAAUAUCAAAAUAUUCAAUUAUUUAUAUUGAAGUGAGUUUUUUUUUUUUUUGAAAAGAUAUUGAAGUGAGUUAUAAUCUGUACAUAUUUAAUCAAAAUUUAAAUUUGUUCAUACAAAAUUGAUAAUUUUCAAUGAGGUUUUCACAAAAUUUUAUAAAAUUUAUAAUAUUUAAUAUUUAUGAAAUCCUUUAAAAUAGAAAAAUAAUAAAGUGUCUCUGAAUCGUGUUGGAUUUAAUAAACUGGUAUUCAUUUCUUAAAAGUGUUAAAGCCCGGGUAAAGUUCAUGAGAUUUGAAGGUAUUUGCAAGAAACUCAUAAGAAUGCAUCAAAUGAUGAAGACACGACAUCUAAAAAGAUAUUUAAAAUUUAACAAAUGCAUAAUGAAAUAGGUCGAAUCACAUUAUCAAAACUACCAUAUUGGAGUAAAUCUUGCACUCUAAAGCAUACUUGGGAUAGCCUUUGUCUAGAGAAACAUCCAACAUUCUAUAGUUUUGAAAAAUUUUAUUUGCACAUAAUUUAAAAUUUUGACCAUAACUCUGAUCAAAGACAAAUACUUAGUGGAUUAUUUUCAGAAAAAUUCUCACGAACAUGAAAACAAACUCAAACUCAAGUUCAAACUCUUACAACCACGGGACAUUUGAACAAACCCAAACUCUUUUAAAGGACUGCAGCCCUAAAAAUGGGUUAAAAAAUAAUUCAACGCCAAUAUAAAAAAUUCUAAAUUAUACUAUAAGAAAAAUGAGUAUUUCCCACCAUCAAAUUGGUAGGAAAUAUUAAUGUUACAUUUACUACCAAUGGUAUUGAUGGUAAUUUCUUGAGUAGAAAAUAUUGUUGGUGAAAAAUGAAUUACACCUAUGAUCAAUCUAGGACCCAUUUAUUGACGUGGACCGCUAGGUGUCCAAGACCCACAAGUAUAUAUAGCCGCCUAUGUGUCAAGGCCCCAUACAUAUGAGUUGUCACGUCAUUUGUUAAAAUUUUAUGUCGGAUGUCAUUUCUUAUCUAAAUUUCUUCCUAAUUUCAUUCACUACCAAGUUAUUAGUAGAAAAUGAUGAUUUUAAAAUUGUUUGAAUAUGGUAGGAAAUGUUCAAGUGGGUGGGAGUUAUAAUAAAAAUUUAAGUUUUAAUUUUCACCUGUUCAUAAAAAAUCAGAAUACCAUUUCAAACAUUACAAACUCUAAAAUAUGCAAUCAUUCACAUUGUAUAAUAUAAGAAUAUAAUCAAACCAUUCCAUUCACAGUCAAAAAUAAGAGAAAAUGCCCAAAAUAACCAAUCUUCAGUGACCAUAUAUCCAAAAUACAUACUCUCGGCAAAAGUGUCAUUUUUAACCACACAGCCACGCUAUCCACAAAUGUGUAUAUCAUAUAAAAUUAAUGAUUGCACAGAGAUUGUUUUUUCUUUAUAUAGAGCUCCUGAGCUUAACUCAAAAUUCAAAUAAUUUCACAGGUACAUACACACAGACAAAUGUUACUUGCUCUGUUGACGUUGGUGAGACUUGGAAAAAAAGUCUGGGUAGUCUGCAUUUCCAUUCUCUGGUGAGAGUUGAUGAUGAUAGGGUUGAGGACAAUCUAUACUUAAUUAUCAAGAGAUGUUAGGUAUAGAUUUAAUAUACCAAACACAUUCAUGUGUGUGUCUGUCUAGUCUAGGUGGUGGAGUGCCAAGAUCUGGCUGACUUGCGCAUCUUAGUUAUGCGUAUUCUGGAAAAAUGCGCAUGUAUCACAUGCGUAUACUUUAAAAUCAGUUUUAUAAAGAUUAAAUAAGUUUAAACACGCAGAUUUAAAAUGCGUCUUCCUAUACGCAUUCCUAUACGCAUCCUGAGUAUGCGUAAUUUUUUGGUUAUUUUGGAUACUCAUACCGAGUGUGGGUAUUUUAGACCUAGUCUUAUAAAAAUUGGUUAAUUAAGGCGUUCACCCCAAAAAUAACCAUCGCAUUAAAAUUAAUCCAACACAAUCACCUUAUAACAUCAUUUCAUGAAUACUCAUCCAUCACUCCUCCGACACAUACAAAAACACCUACCACCAUUUUGCAACAUUCUGUUAAAUGAUGUGAAUAUCAAAAGUUAUAUAUUAUAUCAAGUUAAAUAACCAUAUGUCACACCAAAGUAACGCAACUAAAAUUGAGCCAAAUAUAUACCAUACCAAAUUUAGAUAUUCUAUCGAUUAAGGCAUUAGCUAAUUAUCAGAACUGCUUCUGGCUUCCUCAUCAUAGCUCUCAUUAUGGAGACUAGCAUCGCAAUCGUCUUCUACCUAUUCCUUCGGAACCUGCAGGCUAAAAGCAUAAAUUAUAGAAUAUAGUAUUCAAUUACAAUGGUGAUGGAGCUAACAAUUUAAAGUUUGAAAUAAAUAAUUUGUUUUCUUGAGAUCAGAUCGCUGCACCUUAACAUAUGAUGGAACAUAGGAUCCCUCUAAUCACGUGAGGACCUUCUCUAACGCUUUGCUAUUACAACUUGUAAACAACCCCAUCAAGUUCAGGGCCUUUCCUCAAACUCUAGGGGGAUGGUGCAAUGCUGGUAUAGCCGCCUCUCAACAAACUCUAUUGACACUUUUAAGGAGUAAAGCAACUUUCAUAUCUCCGUUUGUUAGCGAAAAGGUUCCCAAGAAGAGCUUUGCUUCACUAAUGGGUAUUCGUCAAGGGGAAAGUGAAAUUUUGUGGGACUACAUGAAUUGCAUUACUAAAGAAGCUAUCAAGAUUUUGGACGUUCAUAUAUCGUUGUCAUAAUUGGAUUGAGUCAAGGAACUACAAAUGACAAUUUUGGAUGAUCUCUAGCCAAGAAAGCACCCGAAAGCAUGGUGGCGUUGCAAGAAAGGGUUGGAAAAUAUAUCAAAGCCGAUGAAAGCCGAUGAAAGGAUUUUAAAGACUCAAAGAAAGGAAAUGGAUAUUAUGAUCAUGAUGAUAAAUGGAAACAUCCUAAAAUACAAAGAAAUAGUGACGAAAUUAAGAAAAAAAAUUGUCCCCUAAUAUGCUGAAUACUGUCGAUUAAAUGUUCCACGCCGUCAGAUAUUGCUUAACAUUGAGAAGGACAGAGAUUAGAAGUGGUCAAAGCCACUCCAUGCAAACACAAACAGUAAGAACCAACAUCUAUAUUGUGACUGUCAUAAAGAUAAAGGGCACAACAAUAAUGAUUGUAGGUAGCUUAAAGAUGAGAUUGAAUCUCAUAUAAGAAGAUGAAAACUGAAUAAAAUAUGAAUGACGAAGGUUAUAGCUUCAACAAUCAGAGUUAUCAGGAUCGAGAAGACAUGUAUAAACACCCCCAAGCUCGAGGAAUAAUUGUUAACAUGAUCUAUGGAGGUCCUACCGGAACAGGAUCCUCAAAAAAUUCUAGGAAGGCAUAUCCUCAGAAGGUUAUGCAGGUAGAAAAAGAAGCCCCAACGCACGCUAAAACUGAUGUUACUAAGACCUUUGGUGAUUCCAACUUGAAUGGGAUUAUCAAGUUCCCACAUGAUGAUCCUCUAGUUAUUAUCCUCAUGAUUGGAAAGUCGUCGAUUAACAGAGUUUUGGUAGAUAAUGAAGCUUCCGUCGACAUUCUUUUCCAUCAUGCUUACUGAAGAUGGAAUAUAAUGGUUCACAAUUGACUCCUUCCACUAUACCAAUAUAUGGAUUUAAUGGAGUGAAAUCUAAAGUUGAAGGAAUAUACUACUCCCCAUGACUAGGGGAACCGAACCCCGUAUAACGACCCAUAUGUUGAAUUCCUAGUGAUUAAGUUAGUUCAUCCUAUAAUGUGAUUCUGAUGGCAAGGAGUUGUUAUAUUUUUGUAUGAGACAACAAUGCUAUGAGAGGACAAGUCCUGCCCAUCCAAUGGAAUGAUUACGUGAUUUGUCCCUCGUGAGCCUUACCAAGAUAACCACACGAAGGUCUCAAAAGAUUACCAAAUAAUUUUCAAAAAUAUAGGAAGUAAUUCAAAAAAUGCCCCUAAGGAGAAAAAUCUGAAUGAAAUGUCUAGUUUAGAGCCAUGGGAACGGCUUGAUGAAAUCUCUAUAAGGGAUUCAAAAGAAAAGUUAUGUACUGAAACUAACAUGCCAUAUAACCUGAAGGGAAGGCAUGCUUGGGAAUCUGAACUAAAAAAAAUAGUUUGGUAGGCUAUCUCAACUACAGUAAGAUAUAGAUAAAGUACUCUCUCGAUAUUGGUCCUUCUCACAAGAAAUGAGUGAAAAGGAACAACAAAAAAUAAUUUAAUUGGAAGACACUCUUUACGAGCUUAUGUCAAGUUUUUUGGAUAUAUGGGGGCAACAUAAACUUGACUCCACAGAACUCGUUGAAGCCAAAUAAAAGAAAAAAGGGAAUUAUAACCCUAAGGAUUACUCGAGUAUAUAGGAGAGGUAAUGGUAAACCCCCCCCCCCCCCCCCCCCCCCAAGAUAAUGGCGCAAUCUCCCUCAAAUAAUGGAGUAAGCUCUCACUAAUUGUAAGAAGAAAGGACGAUUCGAAACUAAGGCUUUGAGUCGUAGCCCUCGAUCCUUCUCAUAAAGUAGAUGAAGGAAUACUUAUGCAGUUACUAGUUAAAAGUAAUAAGGCAUAACCAAUAUUAUAUCUUAGAAGUAGCGCUUCAGGAUUGCGAUUUGAAUUCAUUGUUCAAAUUCGCCGAAAUAAAUAGCUCUAGGGCAUUAUCAUAAAGAUCUCUUUAAUAAAUCUCUAACAAUGAUUAUUUUCUAAGUUUAAAAAAAUUAGGAGGAUUUUAAAUUGAUAGUACAGUCACUACAUAAAUGAAAUGGAGAACAUACUUUAAUGAAAAAUUAACUAAACAUCGAGGCCACAAUAGGAACAUUUAUCCAGACUUCCAGGGUUAAAAGGUCAUUAAGCCUUUAAUUAUAUCAGGGUUUUUUUUAAGAAAACAGCACUUGCAUUAAUCAAAUAGAAUCAUACACAAGGCUCUCAUGAACAAAGUUAGGAGGGUUAGUAAUCCACUCCUGCAAAUCUAACAUAGAACUCGUCGCUCUAGCUAACUUAUGAGCAACGACAUUCGCAGAUCUAUGAACAAAUUUAACUAGCACAUUCUCAAAGUGCUUACAGUAAUCAACACAAUCAAGAACUAUUGUGUGAAAAUAUUGUUGGAGAGUGAUUCAAAAAACAGCCAAGGUAGAAUAAGCAGUCAGAAAGAGCAUUACACGUGUUCCGAUAUUUUCUCUUUUUGCAGUUACGUUUAGAUAAUAACUGGUAGCAAUCUUUUAGUAUAUUAGUUGUAGUGGGUUGCUAUUUUCUCUCUAUUAGUUGCUACUUUUUCUCCAUUAUCUGUUAGUUGUAUUGUGGGAUACAAAGCCUGCAUAUAAAGGCUUGUUGCACGUCUCUUUAUCUUAUGCUGAAAAAUAAAAUCUUAUUCUAGCAGUUUACUCAGUAUUCUAUUCUGGUCAUUAUCUCUAGCAAAUAUCCAUCAUUGUGGUAUCAGAGCCAGGUUCGAUUAAGGAGUUGGGCGACGUCAACCAUGGCAGAUAGUUCAGGAAACAUCUCGCACGCAAUGAUUCCACAAUUCUCCGGCGAAAGCUACGACUUCUGGAGCAUAAAAAUGAAGACUUUAUUCAAAUCAAUGGAGUUGUGGGAUCUUGUUGAGAAAGGGUUCUCGGACCGAGAUAAUGAUGCAAACAGGUUAAGAGAAAACAAGAAAAAGGAAGCUAAGGCUUUGUUUUUCAUUCAGCAAGCAAUGCAUGAGACAAUCUUUUCAAGAAUCGCAUCAGCAACAAAGGCGAAGGAAGCUUGGGAUAUUUUGAAGACUGAAUUUCAAGGAUCAGCCAAAGUGAUUGAGGUUAAGAUCCAAAUUCUUAGUCGUGAUUUUGAGACCUUGUUAAUGAAGGAUGGAGAAUCAGUUCAGGAAUUUCUCAGUAGGGUCUCUGGAAUUGUUAGCCAGAUGAGGGCACUAGGUGAAACAAUUCCCGAUAAGAAAAUCGUUUGCAAAGUAUUGAGAAGCCUCCCACAAAAAUUUGACUCUGUUGUUUCAGCAAUAGAAUAAUCUAAGGAUCUGUCCACUUACUCAUUUGAUGAGUUGAAAGGUUCAUUACUCACACAUGAAGCAAGGCUUCGUAGAACUGAAGAGAAAAUUGAGGACAAAGCAUUUCAUGUUGCAGGAGAGAACUAUAAUCAACGAGAAAGUACGGGCAGGGGUCGUGGACACAUGUAUCGUGGAAGAGGUGGAAGAGGUGGAAGAGGCAGAGGACAAAGGCAAUCAGUCCAAUGCCAUUAUUGUAAAAAAUAUGGGCAUGUCAUGGCGAAUUGUUGGAAGAGAGAAAAUCAAGCAAGCUAUGCGGAAGAAGAGGCUGAGGAUCAGGAGCAAGAAGCAAAGCUGUUUAUGGCAAAGAUUGAUGAUACAAAGCUUGCUGAUAGUGUUUGGUUCCUGGACAGCGGGUGCUCCAAUCAUAUGACUGGCGUGAAAGUCAUGUUCACAGAAUUUGAUGAAAAUUGCAAUGUCAAAGUACGCCUCGGGGACAACAAGCUCAUCCAAGUAGCUGGCAAAGGCACCGUAGGAAUCAAUGGCAACGGUAUGACUAAAUUUUUGAGUGAUGUCUAUUAUGUGCCUAGUUUAUCUCAAAAUUUGCUAAGUGUCGGACAACUGAUGACAUCUGGGUAUUCAAUUACAUUUGAUGAUGGAGCAUGUGUGAUUAAAGAAAAGCACUCUGCAAAAGUUAUAGCUAAUAUUCCCAUGACUCAAAACAAACUCUUCCCACUUGUGGUGUCAAACAUAGAAAAAUAUGCCCUACCUGUUAAAGAAGAUAAUGAGUCAAGGUUAUGGCACUUAAGGUAUGGACAUUUGAAUGUAAAUGGUUUAAAGUUAUUGAGCCAACGAGGAAUGGUUUCUGACCUUCCAAAAAUUGAGGCUAUAAACUUAUGUGAGAGUUGUGUACUUGGAAAGCAAUUUCGAAAACCAUUCCCUGUCGGAAACUCUUGGCGUGCAUCUAAGUGUCUUGAUCUUGUACAUGCUGAUUUGUGUGGUCCAAUGAAAACAAUGUCAUUAGGAGGAUCUCGUUACUUCUUAUUAUUCACUGAUGAUUGUAGUCGCAUGAGCUGGGUAUUUUUCUUACAAUUAAAAUCAGAGACAUUUGAGGCCUUCAAAAAAUUUAAGGCAUUUGUUGAGAAGCAAAGUGGCAGAGUUCUGAAAGUACUACGCACAGAUAGAGGUGGUGAGUUUUUAUCGAAGGAAUUUACAAGCUUCUGUGAAAAAGAAGGAAUCCGCAGAGAGUUAACAGCCCCAUAUACUCCUGAACAAAAUGGGGUGGCAGAACGCAAAAACGUACGGUUGUGGAGAUGGCCAGAAGUUUAAUGAACUCAAGGGGUCUUCCGAAACAAUUCUGGGCAGAAGCCAUUGCAACAUCAGUAUAUCUCUUAAACCUUUCACCGACUAAAGCUGUAUUAAAUAAAACUCCGUAUGAAGCUUGGAGCGAGGAGAAGCCUUUAGUGAGCCAUCUUAAGAUCUUUGGUUGUAUUGCCUAUGCCAUGAUUGAUUCAUGUAAACGCAGUAAACUUGAUGAGAAAUCAGUCAAGUGUAUCUUUGUUGGUUACUGUCCACAAUCUAAAGCUUACCGCCUCUGUGAUCCAAGUAAAAUGCAGAUACUCAUACGCCGGAAUGUCAUCUUUAAUGAAGAAGAAAGUUGGAAAUGGGAAGAGGCUUCAGAGGGUACUAAAGUAGACAUGCCAGUUGCAUAUGAAGAUCCCCAAGUUGUGAAUGCAGGAGAGUACCAACCAAUGACCACCGCUUCUCCCGCACAUCAUGAAGGUGGGGCUGAGGAUGUUCCUACCAAAUUCAGGCCUUUAAAUGAUAUCUACGAGCAGACUCUUGCACUGUUCAUAGCUGAUCCCGUUACCUUUGAAGAAGCCAAUACGAAGGAAGAGUGGCGUAACGCGAUGAAGGAAGAAAUCUCAGCAAUUGAGAAAAAUUCAACAUGAGAACUUGUGGACCUGCCUCCAGGUAAAAAUGUUGUUGGAUUAAAAUGGGUAUACAAGACCAAAUACCAUCCUGACGGAAGCAUCCAGAAGUAUAAAGCACGCCUUGUAGCGAAGGGUUACCCUCAGCAGCAGGGCAUUGAUUACGAGGAAACAUUCUCCCCUGUUGCAAGAUUUGAUACUGUGAGAAUUCUCCUUGCUUUAGCUGCGCAUAAAUGUUGGAAUGUCUACCAAUUUGAUGUAAAAUCAGCGUUUCUGAAUGGUGUUUUAAAGGAGGAAGUUUACGUUUGCCAGCCAGAAGGAUUCAUAGUUAAAGGUGAAGAGAAUAAGGUGUACAGACUACGCAAAGCUCUCUAUGGGUUAAAACAAGCCAAUAGGACCUGGUACGACGAGAUCAACUCAUAUCUCCUUGCAACUGGAUUCAACAGAAGCCUACAUGAGCCAAAUCUUUACAUUAAAAGGUGUGGCAACGAUAUCCUCCUGGUGUGUGUCUAUGUAGAUGACAUAAUUUACAUGGGAUCAUCACCUUCACUCAUCUGUGAAUUCAAGGAGAGCAUGGAAACGAAAUUUGAAAUGUCUGACCUCGGUUUGCUGCACUACUUUCUUGGUCUUGAAGUGAAACAGACGGGGAACGGAAUUUUUGUAUGCCAAAAAAAGUAUGCUACUGAUCUGCUCAAAAGGUUCAACAUGUUGAAUUGCAAGAUUGCGGCGACACCAAUGAACAGUGGUGAAAAACUACGAAUGGAGGAUACCACAGAGCCAGCUGAUGCUAACUAUUUCAGAAGCCUAGUUGGUGGGUUAAUUUAUUUAACACACACAAGGCCAGAUAUUGCCUUCUCUGUUGGUGUUAUUUCAAGGUUUAUGCAUUCUCCUUCUAAGCAUCAUCUAGGAGCUGCAAAACGAAUAUUGAGGUAUGUUGAAGGGACUAAAAAUUUUGGGUUAUGGUUUGGUCAGACUCCAGGCUUUAGACUUGAAGGAUUCACGGACAGUGACUGGGCUGGUUGUUUGGACGAUAGAAAGAGUACAUCUGGAUACUUGUUUAAUUUUGGAUCAGCUGCUGUGUUGGAGCUCGAAGAAACAACCAACUAUUGCCUUGUCAUCUUCAGAAGCAGAAUUUGUAGCAGCUAGCUCUGGGGCAUGUCACUCAAUGUGGAUGAGAUACAUACUAGCAGAAAUUUAUCAAGCACAGGAUGGAGCAACUGUUAUCUACUGCGAUAACAAGGGUACAAUACAGAUGAGCAGGAAUCCAGUGUAUCAUGGACGGACUAAGCAUGUGGAUAUAAAGGUGAAUUAUGUACAGGAUUUGGUGGCUGAGGAGAAAGUGGUCCUGGAGUAUGUCAACACAAAUGAACAAGUAGCGGAUAUUCUUACCAAAAGCGUAUCCAGAGAUAAGCAUGAAUACUUCAGAAGGUCUGGGGGUGUGUGAUUUUGAAUCAAGAGGGGGUGUUGGAGAGUGAUUCAAAAAACAGCCAAGGUAGAAUGAGCAGUCAGAAGGAGCAUUACACGUGUUCCGAUAUUUUCUCUUUUUGCAGUUACGUUUAGAUAAUAACUGGUAGCAAUCUUUUAGUAUAUUAGGUGUAGUGGGUUGCUAUUUUCUCUCUAUUAGUUGCUACUUUUUCUCCAUUAUCUAUUAGUUGUAUUGUGGGAUACAAAGCCUGCAUAUAGAGGCUUGUUGCAGGUCUCUUUAUCUUAUGCUGAAAAAUAAAGUCUUAUUCUAGCAGUUUACUCAGUAUUCUAUUCUGGUCAUUAUCUCUAGCAAAUAUCCAUCAAAUAUGACUCUCCAUGAACACCAUUGCAUGCAUCAGCCAAUUGUUUAGCAUCCGUUUCGAACGUACACAAUUCUUGAAACCCAGUUCUUUCACCCAAGAUAGUGCUUCCCUUAAGCUUAUUGCUUCUGCCUCUCUUGGCUGUAGCAAAGAGUCAAACCUUCGAGUACAAGCUUGCACAAAAUCACCCUGAUCACUCCGAAUGACUGCACCCACUCCAAUACUAUUCAUUUCCUCGAACCUGGCAGCAUCGACAUUAACUUUGAUCCACCCCUGCUCUGGUUUACUCCACCGUGUCUAGGAAUCGUGUUCACAGCUGAAAUGUUUUUACUCACCCCCUGUUGUGCCUUUCUCCAAUCAUACAACAAAUUCAUUGCCCCUUCUUGUACGCCAAAAACUGACAUAUUAACUUUGUCCCACACCCACUUAUUUCUACGAUUCCAUAUAUUCCAACAUAGUAAAGCUAUUAACACUACCUGGUCUCUAGUUCCACAGGCAAAUACUCGCUGCAGAACAUCAAACACCCUCUCACCUGGUAAUACUUGGAUCAGAUCAUGCACACUAGUUGCCUCCCACACUGAUUUGGCAAACGAACAAGUAAAAAGCACAUGAAUUUCAUCUUCGUCUUCUACUUGACACCAAGGGCAUUUAACAUCUACCUGCACCCUUUUUGUCAGUAAGGCUACUGUUGUCGGAAGACAGGCACUACACGCUCGCCAUAGAAAAUUAACUUUUCCAGGCAAUUUCAUCGACCAUAACUUCUUUCAAAAACCUGAAUAAGGGCUAUUAUGUUCACCUUGAAUUUUGUGAUAACAACUUUUAACCGUGAAUAGACCCUUAUCAUCCAGACUCCAAAACCACGAGUCACAUCUCUCAAUUCUCGGUAAAGGGAUUCUUUUAAUAAGCUCCUGGGCUGAUAAAAUGCCCCGCCACAUAUAGCUAGGAUUAUUUCCUAGUGUUGCACUAAGGAAGUCAAUAUUUGGAAAAUAUCGAGCUUUUAUCAAACUAGUUACAAGUGGAUUCUCAUUAUUCAACAGUCUCCACCCUUGCUUUGCUAGCAUAGCCAAAUUAAACUGCUUGAGCUCUCGAAACCCCAGCCCUCCCCCUUCUUUACUUGUGCACAUUUUCUUCCAUGUCAUCCAUCUAAUCCCCUUCCUGUUACUUCCACAUCCCCACCAAUAUCCAUUCAGUAGACGUUGAAUGCCUAGCAACAUGAGAUUCAUCCAGAAAUUUUGUAUACAUUGAGCUGCCAUUUUCAACAAAGUAACCUUACUAGCUUUCGAAAUAGGCUUAUUUACCCACCCCUGUAACUUACGGCUAACUCUAUCCUUUAGAAAAUUAAACACCUCAUUUUUCUUCUUUCCAAUUCGCAUCGGCACUCCCAAAUAUUUACCUGGGUCAAAUACCUCUGUAACUUCGAGUAUUUCACAAAUUCGAACUCUACUAGCAGCUGCUUGGACUAAAAAUGACGCUAGACUUGCUAAAGUUAAUCGCUUGGCCAGACAUAUUUUCAUACCUCUGAAUAAUGUUCUUCAUAACUAUUGAUUCCGCUUCUGUUGCUCGGAAGAAAAAAUAGCAAUCAUCUGUGAAGAGCAGAUGCGAUCCAAGCAAAGCUUUCAUUCGGAUACACCAGUGGCCAUAGUUUUCUUUGGUAAGUUUUGGAACAGUAAAAGAAUUAUUCAUGGUUGUUGGCUCUGAUACCAAUUUGUUGGUUUUGAAUAUAGGAUUCUAGUAUAAUUUAAGUAUAUAAAAUAUAGAAUAGAACAUAACAAGGAAUAGAAGAACUAUUUUUCUGGGAAUUUUGUUGUUCUGAUAUAUUAUCUCUUCCCCUUCAAGCUUCUCCAUUUAUAAUAGGAGAAUACAGAUCAUCAUACAUGAAUAGCGAUGCUAUAAACAUAACCGUUACCAACUAUACCAUUUUUAUAACAGGGCAAUUAUGACCAACCCAAUUUGUAUUUUGUAGUCAGAUUGCCUUUCAGAUCUAUCAACUGUAUCAUGCCACUGAUGUAGCCACUAGCCAACCCAUAUACGAGAAACAUAGGUGCAGAAGCAAAAUGAUUACGUGUAAAACACCAUUUCCAUGCGACUGUAUGAUCAAUUCAUUAGAAUAUCCACCAUAAAUUAUACCACCUGCAGGAACGAUCAGUGCUUCUGUCUUUUUAGUUUCCUCACCCUGUUCUUUUUGUUGAUUUUUGCUUUUAGUUGAUUUUCUAGUUGAUUCUGUGAUUAUUAGUAUUGGUUCCGCAACUCAUUUUUCAGCUUUUACCACCACUUCUUACGUAAUUAAAUUCAAUUUUCACAAUUUUUUCUAAAAUCAAUCGUGAUUAGCUGGCGGUUGCAUAUAUGGUUGCAAAUGCAAUCUUCAUAUUAUAAAAAAACAAAUCAAAAAAUAAUAUUUAUGCAAUGGGAAAAUGAAUUUUUUUAACACUAAACUAUCUAGCUUUUUAGAAAAUUACCACUUAACUACAAAAAUUAGUAACUAAACAUUCUGUUAAAAACAAUUAACAGACGUUAAGCAAUGGACUACGUGGCAAAUUACGUGUAAAUGAUAAUAUAUUUAUAAUCCAUAUCAAUAACAAAACAAAAUAAAAGAAGGUUAGUAACCCUCACUGCCACGAUCAACAAAAAACCUCUGUUAUAUUCAUACAUGGGAGUCCACGGCUCUUCCUGCUAAAACAACCGGGGAAGCACCAAUCAGAGGAAACUAAGGUAUGAUCAAGUCAUACACAUACUUAUCUCUAGAGCUGAGCAAAACCGAACCGAAACCGAAAAACCGAACCGAACCGUGUAAUUCUGGUUAGGUUCGAUUUUUAUUUUUCUGAAAAUUCCGGUUAAUUCGGUUUUCGAUUAUUAACCGAAUUACAAUUCGGUUCGGUUCGGUUAUUAAAACUAUAAAUACGGUUAUUACCGAAAUAACCGAAUUAUAUAUAUAUUAUUUUAAAGUAUAAUAGAUAAAUAGUUAAUAGAAUAGAAUAAUCACAUACACAUGAGAGAGUGAGGUCGUGACUCAGUACACACACACAACCCUAAUCUAACAAACCCACUCCCUAGUUACAGGCUCUCCGCCUCUGCCCUUCCCAUCAAUUCCGGCCAACAGCCUGUCGCGCCACCGGAAACACCGAGCACAGCCUUCUUCAUCUCUCCCAUAGCCUCCCUCGACCUCCAGAUGCGGCGUCGUUGCCGCCCUCUUCACCACCACUCCGGCUACACGCCAACGCCGGACUCCCUUCUCCGAUUAAUAAACAAUCAACCAACGCAACAACACCGACAUCCAGGCAAUACACAAUCAUCACACAGAUCUGAUUAUACAGAUUGGUGUGUUACACAGGGCUGAUAACCUCACCUGAACGCUCGAAUCCUCAAACUCGAAAUUUCUCUCCGCCCUGUGUUUUCCUCUUAUUCCGAAUCUAAAUUUUACUUUUUAUUCAAUUUAGU
rnacentral:lncRNA from 1 species